UACAGAGGGUGCAAGCGUUAAUCGGAAUUACUGGGCGUAAAGCGUGCGUAGACGGUUAUGUAAGUCGGGUGUGAAAGCCCCGGGCUCAACCUGGGAAUGCCAUUCGAGACUGCAUAGCUAGGGUGCGGAAGAGGGAAGCGGAAUUUCCGGUGUAGCGGUGAAAUGCGUAGAUAUCGGAAGGAACACCAGUGGCGAAGGCGGUUCUCUGGGCCUGUACUGACGCUGAGGAGCGAAAGCGUGGGGAGCGAACAGG
rnacentral:rRNA from 1 species